AGUCGAACGGCAGCAUGAUCUAGCUUGCUAGAUUGAUGGCGAGUGGCGAACGGGUGAGUAAUACAUCGGAACGUGCCCUGUAGUGGGGGAUAACUAGUCGAAAGAUUAGCUAAUACCGCAUACGACCUGAGGGUGAAAGUGGGGGACCGCAAGGCCUCAUACUAUAGGAGCGGCCGAUGUCUGAUUAGCUAGUUGGUGAGGUAAAGGCUCACCAAGGCGACGAUCAGUAGCUGGUCUGAGAGGACGAUCAGCCACACUGGGACUGAGACACGGCCCAGACUCCUACGGGAGGCAGCAGUGGGGAAUUUUGGACAAUGGGCGAAAGCCUGAUCCAGCAAUGCCGCGUGUGUGAAGAAGGCCUUCGGGUUGUAAAGCACUUUUGUCCGGAAAGAAAUGGCUCUGGUUAAUACCUGGGGUCGAUGACGGUACCGGAAGAAUAAGGACCGGCUAACUACGUGCCAGCAGCCGCGGUAAUACGUAGGGUCCAAGCGUUAAUCGGAAUUACUGGGCGUAAAGCGUGCGCAGGCGGUUGUGCAAGACCGAUGUGAAAUCCCCGAGCUUAACUUGGGAAUUGCAUUGGUGACUGCACGGCUAGAGUGUGUCAGAGGGGGGUAGAAUUCCACGUGUAGCAGUGAAAUGCGUAGAGAUGUGGAGGAAUACCGAUGGCGAAGGCAGCCCCCUGGGAUAACACUGACGCUCAUGCACGAAAGCGUGGGGAGCAAA
rnacentral:rRNA from 1 species